GGAAUAUUGGACAAUGGGCGAAAGCCUGAUCCAGCGACGCCGCGUGUGUGAAGAAGGCCUGCGGGUUGUAAAGCACUUUUGAUGGGAACGAAAUGUGCCGGGUGAAUACCCCGGCAAGCUGACGUGACUCAAUGAAGACGAACCGGCUAAACCUGUGCCAGCAGCCGCGGUAAUACAGAGGGUGCGAGCGUUAAUCGGAAUUACUGGGCGUAAAGCGCACGUAGGUGGCGACGUAAGUCGGGUGUGAAAGCCCCGGGCUCAACCUGGGAAUUGCAUUCGAGACUGCAUUGCUGGAGUACGGAAGAGGAGGGCGGAAUUCCCGGUGUAGCGGUGAAAUGCGUAGAUAUCGGGAGGAACAUCAGUGGCGAAGGCGGCCCUCUGGUCCAGUACUGACACUCAAGUGCGAAAGCGUGGGGAGCAAA
rnacentral:rRNA from 1 species